GUCACUUGGUUCAUGUAGCUCUCCAUAGUUCCAAACAACUCAGCGCUGUCAACCAGUUUGCAUGGGUUUAGGCAGGAUGGACAACAGAAGCAGCUAUAUCUACAGCAAUUAUCGAGGCUAAACUAUUAACCAGGACACAGACACAUUUUGACUGAUAAGUCCACACCUCCUGCUGCCUGGGAAAGACCUUGCUGAUGCAGUAGCUCUACCUUGUGUCUGGCUACUGUGCUUUCUCUUGCCAUGGUGUAUCAGUAUGACUCUGACAGUAAACUGUCUUCUCUUACCUUGUAAACUGAGUUAGGCUGUUUCCACCUACAUACUGAAUGUAUGAUCAUUAGCACCUGUUUUGUUUGUUUAAUCACCUGAUGAUAUGCCUUACAAAAUCCACGAGUUCCACCAAACUUAAAUUUUUCUUCUGUCCAUUCACAUUGUAUUUUGUUUUAUAACUAAUAACAUGUCCAUUUUUAACUUACUGUAUACUGUGUGUAUUGGCAAAUUGUAUUUUGAUGCUUUUGAUGAACUGUUCUUGAAACCUUCAUGCCAAUAAAGCCCUUUAAAUUUAA